AUAACAUUUGAAACAGAUGCUAAUACCGAUAAAACUUCGUAUCGCAUGAUACAAGGUUAAAAGGCGCUACGGCGUCACCUAGAGAUGGAUCCGCGGUGCAUUAGUUAGUUGUGGGGUAAAGGCCUACCAAGACAAUGAUGCAUAGCCGAGUUGAGAGACUGAUCGGCCACAUUGGGACUGAGACACGGCCCAAACUCCUACGGGAGGCUGCAGUAGGGAAUCUUCCACAAUGGGCGAAAGCCUGAUGGAGCAACGCCGCGUGUGUGAUGAAGGCUUUCGGGUCGUAAAGCACUGUUGUAUGGGAAGAACAGCUAGAGUAGGGAAUGACUUUAGUUUGACGGUACCAUACCAGAAAGGGACGGCUAAAUACGUG
rnacentral:rRNA from 1 species